rnacentral:rRNA from 1 species
UACGUAGGGGGCGCGCGUUGUCCGGAUUUAUUGGGCGUAAAGAGCGCGUAGGCGGAGCGUUAAGUCUGGCCUGAAAGCCCCCGGCUCAACCGGGGAAGGUGGCUGGAAACUGGCGUUCUUGAGGGCGACAGAGGAGAGUGGAAUUCCUGGUGUAGCGGUGAAAUGCGUAGAUAUCAGGAGGAACACCCAUGGCGAAGGCAGCUCUCUGGGUCGGACCUGACGCUGAGGCGCGAAAGCGUGGGGAGCGAACGGG